rnacentral:rRNA from 1 species
UACGAAGGGGGCUAGCGUUGUUCGGAAUUACUGGGCGUAAAGCGCACGUAGGCGGAUCUAUAAGUCAGGGGUGAAAUCCCGGGGCUCAACCUCGGAACUGCCUUUGAUACUGUAGAUCUCGAGUCCGAUAGAGGUGAGUGGAAUUCCGCGUGUAGCAGUGAAAUGCGUAGAGAUGCGGAGGAACACCGAUGGCGAAGGCAGCCCCCUGGGCUAACACUGACGCUCAGGCACGAAAGCGUGGGGAGCAAACAGG